rnacentral:rRNA from 1 species
GACGAACGCUGGCGGCGUGCUUAACACAUGCAGGUCGAGCGGUAAGGCCCUUCGGGGUACACGAGCGGCGAACGGGUGAGUAACACGUGGGUAACCUGCCCUGCACUCUGGGAUAAGCCCGGGAAACUGGGUCUAAUACCGGAUAUGACUCCAUCGCGCAUGUGGUGGGGUGGAAAGUUCUGGCGGUGUGGGAUGGGCCCGCGGCCUAUCAGCUUGUUGGUGGGGUAGUGGCCUACCAAGGCGACGACCGGUAGCCGGCCUGAGAGGGCGACCGGCCACACUGGGACUGAGACACGGCCCAGACUCCUACGGGAGGCAGCAGUGGGGGAAUCUUGCACAAUGGGCGGAAGCCUGAUGCAACGACGCCGCGUGAGGGAUGACGGCCUUCCGGUUGUAAACCUCUUUCGCCCGGGACGAAGCGUGAGUGACGGUACCGGGAGAAGAAACACCGGCCAACUACGUGCCAGCAGCCGCGGUAAUACGUAAGGGUGCCCAGCGUGUCCGAAUUAUUGGGCGUAAAGAGCUCGUAGGCGGUUUGUCGCGUCGGCCUGUGAAAACUCGGGGCUUUACUCCGAGCUGCGGUCGAUACGGGCAGACUUGAGUUCGGCAGGGGAGACUGGAAUUCCUGGUGUAGCGGUGAAAUGCGCAGAUAUCAGGAGGAACACCGGUGGCGAAGGCGGGUCUCUGGGCCGAUACUGACGCUGAGGAGCGAGAGCGUGGGGAGCGAACAGGAUUAGAUACCCUGGUAGUCCACGCCGUAAACGUUGGGCGCUAGGUGUGGGGGCCAUUCCACGGUUUCCGUGCCGUAGCUAACGCAUUAAGCGCCCCGCCUGGGGAGUACGGCCGCAAGGCUAAAACCCAAAGGAAUUGACGGGGGCCCGCACAAGCGGCGGAGCAUGUGGAUUAAUUCGAUGCAACGCGAAGAACCUUACCUGGGUUUGACAUGCACUGGAUGCCGGCAGAGAUGUUGGUUCCGCAAGGCUGGUGCACAGGUGGUGCAUGGCUGUCGUCAGCUCGUGUCGUGAGAUGUUGGGUUAAGUCCCGCAACGAGCGCAACCCUCGUUCCAUGUUGCCAGCGGGUAAUGCCGGGGACUCAUGGGAGACUGCCGGGGUCAACUCGGAGGAAGGUGGGGAUGAGGUCAAGUCAUCAUGCCCCUUAUGUCCAGGGCUUCACACAUGCUACAAUGGCCGGUGCAGAGGGCUGCGAAGCCGUGAGGUGGAGCGAAUCUCGUAAAGCCGGUCUCAGUUCGGAUCGGGGUCUGCAACUCGACCCCGUGAAGUCGGAGUCGCUAGUAAUCGCAGAUCAGCAACGCUGCGGUGAAUACGUUCCCGGGCCUGCACACACCGC